AGAGGGUGGUGGUGGUUAUCGCCCAACUUGGAGACCUACUUGGAGACCUACUUGGAGGCCUACGCGUCCAACUUGGAGGCCAACUAGGCCGUGGUAGGAGACCAAGCUUCUAAGUGUGCUUCACGCAAUCUCAACUGCCAAUCAAGACCGCGUACUUACUGGUUUAUAACCAGGCAAAACUGUUGCGAGAAGCUUAAAAUUGGAGGACCUGCCGCCGAAUGCAAAGAUUAAUGAGACACAAUGAUUGACAGAAUGUUAACUGAUUUAAAAUAUGCAAAUGUUUUAAUUUUCCAAGAACUAAUUUUCGAACUCAAAAAUUUCAAU